rnacentral:lncRNA from 1 species
GAGGUUCCCAGGCUAGGGGUCUAAUCAUAGCUACAGCCACCAGCCUACACCACAGACAUAGAAACACCAGAUCCGAGUCGCAUCUUCGAACUGUACCACAGCUCGUGGCAAUGCAGGAUCCUUAACCCAUUGAGCAAGGCCAGGGAUUGAACCCACAACCUUAUGGUUCCUAGUCGGAUUCAUUUCUGCUGCACCAUGAGGGGAACUCCUAACCAAGUAUUUUUAAAGCAUACAGUUAAAGUUGCCUGAAUUGCUGACUGAUUUGAGAAAACUAUCACUUGAUGUUUUUUCAGUUGUGAGUCUUUAAAUUUGUGUCUGAUUCACAGACUAGGAUAUUUCAAAUAGGGGAAUAUUUUGUAGUGAAUGAAAGUGGCCUUCACAUUAUCUGUGUCCAGAUACACUGUAUCUAAGUAAUGUUAGUGCCUAAAAGAAGUAUUUAAAAGACAAAGGAUUAUGAAUUGGGUGAAAUCAGUUUCACCUCUCCUCUUGUUUAGAUAUUUAUUUUAAAAUGCUCCAGAAAACAAAAAGUACAUUGGGGAUACGGUGAAACCAGAGUAACACAAUUUUUACCAGGGGGGAAGGAAGACUACAUGGAGGUGUGUUAUACUAUUCACUUUUUUAAUAACCUUAAAAGUUUUUUACUCUGUUACCUUUUUCCCCUUCUUAUCUGUAAUUUAUAAGAUGGUUAUUUUGACAUUGGAGGUUUGACCACCUUAGAUAAUUAGUAUUGAAUGAAAAAGAGGUGACAUGGAUGAGCUUAUCAAACUCAGGAAGCUGAUAAUUAUCUCUUAAAACCCAUGUAUUGCUCUAAAAAUUAUGCAUGCAGUGUUAGCAUGCAUAUUAAGAAAAUUUUCCUUUUAUAAUAAGGUUCCCUCACCAUCCUUUCAGAUAGGAAAAGGGUAUGAAUAUUAGUUGCUCUGUUUUGAAAUCUUUUCAGUGUUGUAGUCAUAAAGGCCCAGAUUUGAGAGUUGAAUGGAUCAGAGAAUUUACCUGGUGGUCCCCACUUCCCAUCUUUGCAAGGAGGACAGUUUCUCAGGAAGGCAAAAAGUGUCUUGUUCAAAGUCAGUUCCAGGUGCUUUUUCAGAAGUAGAUUAAAAAAAUUGUAUCUUUAUAUUUUAUAUUUACAGGUUUUUCCAAUAUAAUAUUUAAUUAGAGACACCCCCCCCAAAAAAAAAAGAAGAAGUAGACUAACAAGGAACUACUGUAUAGCCCAGGGAAAUCUACUCAAUAUUCUGUAAUAGCUUACAUGGGAAAAGAAUCUGAAAAAUAAUGAAUAUGUUUAUAUGUAUAACUGAUUUACUCUGCUGUAUACCUGAAACUAAUGCAACUAUACUCAAAGAACAAUUUUUUUUAAGUGGUCCAUAUAUACAAUGGAAUAUUACUCAGCCAUUCAAAAGAAUGAUGUAGUGCCAUUUGCAGCCACAUGGAUGGACCUAAAGAUUGUCAUACUAAGUGAAGUCAGACAGGGAAAGACAAACAUCCUAUAAUAUUGCUUAUAUGUGAAAUCUAAAAAAAGGAUACAAAUGAACUUAUUUGCAGAAUAGACUCACAGACUUUGAAAAAAGCUUAUAGUUACCUAAGGGAACAGGUGCAGGAGGAGGGAUAGACAGGGGGUCUGGAAUUGGCAUAUGCACAUUGUGGUAUAUGGAAUGAGGACCUGCUGUAUAGCACAGAGAACUCUACCUAAUAUUCAAUGCUAAAAUGUAUGGGGAAAGAAUCUGAAAAAGAAUGGAUGUGUGUAUAGAUAUCACUAAAUCACUUUGUUGUACAGCAGAAAUUAUCACAACAUUGUAAAUCAACUAUACAUCAAUACAACUUAAAAAGAAUUUUUUUUUUUUAAAGACCGGAACCCUUGGAAACCAAGUACCCUUUUUGACUCUUAUCAUACUGCCUCAAUCUUGUCCUUUAAAAUACUCAUUAACAAUCUCCUCUCUGGGGAUCAAAGCAGUUUUCUAAAUCCAGACCAGUGACUGCGUGUCAGAUGUUCAUUGCGGGUAGUGUGGCCCCAAAUUAUCUUUUCUUUUCUUGAACACCAUUUCCAAGCUGUGUGAUAAGUCCCAGAAGUGAGCAUGUUUAAUUCUGUUCUUGUAAAUGCUCUGCAGCAGGUUUGCAGCCUGUUCCUCCUUCUCUGGCUUCUGUAGACUUUCCAUCAGGGAUGGGUCAAUAUGCUCAAAUGACAGUCCAGGCUGACAGGAAGGUACACUUGGCCAAGCAAUUCCACAAAGACCAUCAGCCUCUGCCACAAAGCCUCUCCCAAGGCCUUUUGUCAUUCAAGCAGAAAUUCCAAACAUCACAGUUGAAAUAGGCAUGUUUUUUUCUACAUGGAUCCUGUUUAGCAUUUGUGGCCAAAAUGUUUGAAGCACAAAUUUUCUUGCUAAAUGUUAUCUUCUUUGCGUUGUACUUAAUAGUAGCUCAUUGGAAUAAAGUAAGGGAAUGGAUUGGCAUUUAUAAAAUAAUUUUUACCCAGUCUUUUCAAGAGUUUUACAAAGAGCAAUGCUCUGAUUCCUAAAAACAUAAUUAUACAAAUAGAUAGGCAAACAGAACUAGAGACAGAAGGACUUUGCCAUGCUGGCAUGAUCAGUGAGGAACCAGCCACAGGACUUGUGGAUUCAUUCAGGAAUUGCCCUGACUUACUGACCUCCUCAGGGGUUGAAGGCAAUGGGAGACAUAGAAAGAAAAGAUUGAAUGGCUCUCACUCCUCCCACCUCCUUUUUUGGAGGAGGCAGGGAUACAGAAACAGAACAGUAUACAACUGCAUAAUCAAAGUGCUUUGGAUACAAGUGCUAAGGAACCAGAUGACAUAGAACUGCCCCC